rnacentral:sRNA from 2 species
ACUCGAGCGCCAGCGAGAAAGCGUUGCCGCAGGCAACGACCCGAAGGGCGAAGCGCGCAGCGCUGAGUAAUCCUUCCCCCACCACCA